rnacentral:sRNA from 1 species
UUUUUGAAGACACCCACCAUCACCAAACUCAAAAGCCCGGGCGUAUGUUCGGGCUUUU